UACGUAGGGGGCAAGCGUUAUCCGGAUUUACUGGGUGUAAAGGGUGCGUAGACGGCGAUGCAAGCCAGAUGUGAAAGCCCGGGGCUCAACCCCGGGACUGCAUUUGGAACUGUAUAGCUAGAGUGUCGGAGAGGCAGGCGGAAUUCCUAGUGUAGCGGUGAAAUGCGUAGAUAUUAGGAGGAACACCAGUGGCGAAGGCGGCCUGCUGGACGAUGACUGACGUUGAGGCUCGAAAGCGUGGGGAGCAAACAGG
rnacentral:rRNA from 1 species